rnacentral:rRNA from 1 species
AGAGUUUGAUCCUGGCUCAGGAUGAACGCUAGCGGGAGGCUUAACACAUGCAAGUCGAGGGGUAAGGUCAAGCUUGCUUGACACACGACCGGCGCACGGGUGAGUAACGCGUAUGCAACCUACCUUUUACAGGAGGAUAGCCCUAAGAAAUUGGGAUUAAUACUCCAUAGUUUUGAGAUUUCGCAUGAGAUUUCAAAUAAAGUUCCGGCGGUAAAAGAUGGGCAUGCGUACCAUUAGCUAGUUGGUGAGGUAACGGCUCACCAAGGCAACGAUGGUUAUGGGGUCUAAAAGGAUGGUCCCACACACUGGUACUGAGACACGGACCAGACUCCUACGGGAGGCAGCAGUGAGGAAUAUUGGUCAAUGGGCGGAAGCCUGAACCAGCCAUCCCGCGUGCAGGAAUACAGCCCUAGAGGUUUUAAACUGCUUUUAUAUACGAAGAAUAAGCUAUACGUGUAUAGUGAUGCCGGUAGUAUAUGAAUAAGCACCGGCUAACUCCGUGCCAGCAGCCGCGGUAAUACGGAGGGUGCAAGCGUUAUCCGGAUUUAUUAGGUUUAAAGGGUGCGUAGGCUGAUGCUUAAGUCAGUGGUAAAAUCCAUUAGCUCAACUAAUGUAAGCCAUUGAAACUGGGUGUCUUGAGUUCGGUUGAGGUAGGCGGAAUGUGUUGUGUAGCGGUGAAAUGCAUAGAUAUAACACAGAACACCGAUUGCGAAGGCAGCUUACUAAGCCGUUACUGACGCUGAUGCACGAAAGCGUGGGUAUCAAACAGGAUUAGAUACCCUGGUAGUCCACGCUGUAAACGAUGAUCACUCGUUGUUGGCGAUACACAGUCAGCGACUGAGCGAAAGCAUUAAGUGAUCCACCUGGGGAGUACGUUCGCAAGAAUGAAACUCAAAGGAAUUGACGGGGGCCCGCACAAGCGGAGGAACAUGUGGUUUAAUUCGAUGAUACGCG